CAACAUUGUUUAAAAACAAUUAUUUCAAAUAAUAUAAAAAAGUCGAUUGUAUCUUCUAUUCUAAAACGGAUAUGUGCAUCGCCUCGUUAAGGGACACGUAUCUACGAUCAGUAAACAAUGUGAAUAAUUUGAUUCGUAUUUCGAUUAUUCUAUAACUAAAAGAUACUGUUAAAAAUGACCGAUAGUGCGAGUGCUGGUUAGCAGACAAUUGAUUCGAUUAAAUGGCUCGAAAUUCAAAUCGAAGCUUCUUGGGUUUCGCUAAUUCGUUUUACUUGUCCUUGCACUUUGUCGACUUCUCGAUCACUCGCAGAUCUCAACUAUGCACGACACAAAGUCAAACGACCGCUCAAGGUGAUCGAGGAAAUAGUCCCAUCAUUCCAUUUCUCGUUUUUUUUUUUCAUUUCGCUUCACUGCUGUACAUGGGACACGUGCGUGUUUUCUCUCCCAGACAAAAUAAGUGUCAAACAGCGAUCAGCAAAAUAGAAGUUUUAUAUCUCUUUAUCGUUAUGAAACUACGUUCAAUCAGAUCGAUGACAUUUUUCAACGAAAAAUGAUAAAAGCACAGACAUCGCUAAAGACAACGUAUCCAAGUUUCAACGAAAUUCAAAAUGUUUUCUCGAAGCGUACGUGCUCUCGCACGAAACAAAUCUAUCGCAUGAUCGAUUAGCACCUACGUAACAACGUGUACGUUCGUAAACAAUGAGUAAUAUUGCUGAAAAAUAAGGAGAAACAGAAACAGAAACAGAAACGAAGGCAUAUGUUCAAGCAACCACGAUUACGUUAAAAAUAGACGAGAAGCCUUCGGUUCUUCGAAAUUAAAAUGAACCAUGGAAUACUCUGUUAGCGAUGUAAACACUUCACCGACUUGGCUUUGCAAAACCGACGAAACAAAAGUAAUUAGCUAAUCUUUUGGUAAAGACACGUAUGCACAUACCUGUUGCAGUAACGAUGUUACGCGCUAAUCGUCAGCCUCACUACAGAAGAGCUGCGAAGAACGAAAUCCAACUGACGACUAAGCUUCGCGUCGCUAUGCAUGUUCAAAUUUUGUAUACGUAUGGUUGUGUACAUAAGACACGCAAACGUUAGAGGAAAGGUGGGAGGAUUACAUUGCCCAAUGGGAGACUUCUGAGAAGUGACGUAGAGAUAUGUAUGCAUACAUACAGGCGGUUAUCUGAACGCGAUUCAUACACAGGAAAAGCAGAAAGCUUAUAAUAUUAUACCGAAAAAUAAUUGUCAGUUCCCCGAAAACAAUUACUGAAGAUUCGAACAAAAAGAAUUGCGUAAUACAAAACGUUCUCCUGUUUAUCACUCGUCUAUAUAUGGAAUAAAUGCUAAAUAUACAUAUAUAGG